rnacentral:miRNA from 1 species
GGCAGCAUUCAGCCCCUCACCCCCUCAGGUUCCUUGGGAAAGCAGGAGGAGGAGGGAGAGCCUGGGCUUGUCUCUGCUGGGGUUUCUCCU